UGGGCCUUCGGCGGCAUGAUCUUCAUCCUCGUCUACUGCACCGCCGGGAUCUCCGGCGGCCACAUCAACCCCGCCGUCACCUUCGGGCUCUUCCUGGGGCGGAAGGUGUCGCUCAUCAGGGCGGUGAUGUACAUGGUGGCGCAGUGCCUCGGCGCCAUCUGCGGCGUCGGACUGGUCAAGGCCUUCCAGAAGUCCUACUACAACCGCUACGGCGGCGGAGCGAAUUCGCUCAGCGAAGGGUACAACAAGGGCACCGGCCUCGGCGCCGAGAUCAUCGGCACCUUCGUUCUCGUCUACACCGUCUUCUCCGCCACCGAUCCCAAGAGGAGCGCU
rnacentral:lncRNA from 1 species